rfam:Lachnospiraceae bacterium 28-4 genomic scaffold acPFn-supercont1.1, whole genome shotgun sequence.
UUGCUUACAAUCAGCAAUUUCACUUAUGAAAUGGUCAUAGCACAGGGGAAAAUUGCCAUGGAUGGCAAUUUUAGGAAACAUAGGACAGGAUGUCCGUUGUUUCCGCCCCGUUCGGUUGAUGUUCUUUGCCCAUUUCAUUAGUGAAAUCUGAUGGUAUGCUC